AGCUGUCACCUUCUCUUUUCACUAUCUCGAACUAACCCAAAAGUACAAGCGACGUUUAAACACUAAAUUGCUCAAUAUAUGCGUUAAAUAACACAACGAAUGAGUUGCCGCGACGGCAUGAGGGGAGGACGAUGCGUCCCUUGUGUACCAGAAGGAGACGCCAAGCAUUGUGGCCUUAAAGGCAUGCCAUUUAAACGCUUGCAAUAAUUAUAGUGUGUGUCGGGACGUGUGCAUGUCCGCUAUGUUGACAUUACAUUGCUGAUGCACCCUUUGCAACUUUUGCACAGUUUUUCCCCUGCGGCCUACAAGCUCCCAUCGCCAACUUAACAGCCAAGCACCUCCUUGCACCAUUUCCGCGUUGAAUAGCGACUCGUCGAAUAAACACACCAAAGCAAAUACCGAUGUUGUCUUUAAAGUCAUCGGGCAAUAAUGGCGGCGUUUAGGCGCUUAUGUUGCAGAAUAGCCGGCUUAAUAAGUGGAGUGGGGUGCGCGACGUCUCUAAAUCAACGAGACACACACAAAAAACACACAACUUACCUAGUGCCACUUCACAGGCUUUGCGCAGUUGGGAGUGAUGGGCUUUUUUCACCUCCUUGUCCGCCAAAAUCUUCUCCAAAGCUCUGGCCGGAGGAGGAGUGAGGGAGAGGAGGGCUCCAAAAAUGAUGUAGUUUUCCCCUUGGCGAUGUCAGGCCACACCAACAAAAAAUCAAACGCACAAAAAAGGUGGGCUCAAUCCCGUCCGACGGACAUCAACGACCUGCCUCCUGCGCCAUGUUGGAGAGGAAGCGACGUCACGCACGUCGGCGAGCGGCCGCAGUGAGGCAGCAGGGAGAUGCUGCUGCUGCUGCUGCUGCUCGGAGAGGACAAGGACGUGCAGUCAUUCCUGGAGGAGGCCACACUGAUGGACCCCAGAAGGAUGUUCCAAUAGCAGCAGAAGUGCACUUUUUUGGAGAGCUGUAUUAUUUUCAGUUUCGUGCCCAAGGGACUGAUUUUAUUAAACACUAUAUUAUUAUUUAUACACUUAUAGUGAUCACAGAGACAGGUUGUUUUUGUGUUACUGUAUAUAUUUGUUUUUCUGAAAAAUCCCACUUAAUAUACUUUGGGUAACAACAGUCAAUAUUUAUUUUUAUUUUUUUAUUUUUUUAGGGGGGUAACAACAGUCAAUAUUUAUUUAUUUAUUUUAUUUUAUUUUUUUCUCAUAAAAUAAAAGUGAGCUUUUGUUAAACCAAAUAUUGUA